CCCAGACCUCAUUUGCAGUGGAGUGGUUGGUGGUGGAGGCAAGGGCAUUUUGCUAAAGAUCUCUGUGUAUCUCAGGCCUUCUAAGGAGAAAACUCGGGGUGAGUCAUGUUAUCCAACAGAUGCCCAGGAUGCUAUUGCUUUGAAAACUGCAGCUUUGCACAAACUGUUUACUGGAGAAGACUGAGAUGGAAAGAUGGGGGCAUUUCUGGAGAAAGGUCUUUAUGGAUUUUAUUACUUUGCAGUUACUGAACCAAUUUAUCAGUAUUUCCUCCUUUAACUGAUAUACUGCUAAAUCUUUUGGUUUCUGUGAGUGUGUGGGAUCAUCCCUUCUCUGCGUGAUAUUUUAUAAUACUUUUCUCCAAUACUGACUGCCUCCAGCUUGCUUUCCUAACUUUAGUGGUUUACAAAAGGUGUUGAAAGGUGCAAUAAACAUGGAAGACUGUGCCUGCUUUUUGAACACCACUGAAUCGUGAGAACAGUCUUUUGCAUGACUUGAGUGGAUACAAGCUGAAGGACAGGAGGCUUGCAUAAAAGUAAGCUCAAGAACAAAAUGCAGAGGCUGCAGAACUCAUCAAGUGAAGAGAAGAAAAUAGAAUAGAUGUCCUGUUGUUGAAGAUAACACAGCAGAACAGAUGCCUCAGCUCAACAUAACAUCAGUGGGAAUAGAUCUGGCUAGCCUCCCUUAAAAGGUUGGAAAUUCACAGCGACGAUGAUUACUAGACAGCCACCCACAACCACCAGAGACACCAUGACCACCACAUAUUUAGAACACAUGCUCAGAAGGGUGGGACAAAAUGUUAAUUAUUUCUCAAAAUUUCGGCCUGUUUUCUUUUAAUGUAAUGAAUAUGUAUAUGCUAUGCCUUUAAAUAUGUAGUUGUUUCUCCCUUUGGUGCGUGUUUGGUGGAGUGAUCCCCCAUGCACCUAGCGCUGUAAUAAAGGGAAUACCUGCUUGACAUAAGUCA